CCUACGGGAGGCAGCAGUGGGGGAUAUUGCACAAUGGGGGAAACCCUGAUGCAGCGACGCCGCGUGGGUGAAGGAGUGUUUCGGUGUGUAAAGCCCUAUCAGCAGGGAAGAAGGAGGACGGUACCUGACUAAGAAGCCCCGGCUAACUACGUGCCAGCAGCCGCGGUAAUACGUAGGGGGCAAGCGUUAUCCGGAUUUACUGGGUGUAAAGGGGGCGCAGACGGCAGCGCAAGCCUGGAGUGAAAGCCCGGGGCUCAACCCCGGGACUGCUUUUGGAACUGUGCGGCUGGAGUGCAGGAGGGGCAGGCGGAAUUCCUGGUGUAGCGGUGAAAUGCGUAGAUAUUAGGAGGAACACCAGUGGCGAAGGCGGCCUACUGGACAGCGACUGACGUUGAGGCCCGAAAGCGUGGGGAGCAAACAGGAUUAGAUACCCCUGUAGUC
rnacentral:rRNA from 1 species